UUUUCUCUUCUCUUCCGCCGAACCCUCCUACUCUAACACAUCGGCGAGCACACCACAGCGGCCAUCGUUCAUCGGCCAUCAUCCACCGGCGGUGAGACUCCGGUGCCAGUACGUUGUCUGGCAUCCUCCUCCUCCUCUUCUCUUCUUCUUCUUCUUCCAAAGGUAUUCCUUGUUUUCUGUUUUGAACAGAUCAAAGGUGACCUGAACCUCAGCUCACACCGGAGGCUCAGAAAAACUGCACGCAGGCUCAGAAAUUGUGGACUUGUUAAGCAUAGGAUACUUUUUGGAUCAAUAGCGAAUAUGGGAUAGCAUCCUUAUGCAAUGUUCGUCCCAGCUAUCUGGAAGUUUGGGAAUAGAGGACUGGAGAAUGGUCACGUUCGAUCUGUUCAAAACAAAAACCAAGGAACACCUCAAGAAGAAGAAGAAGAGGAGGAGGAUGAUGAUUAUGCCAGACAACGUACUGCUGAAUCUGUCGCCGAUGAACGAUGGCCGCCAAUGGAGGCAAGAGACGAUGCGGUCAUCUCUCAUUGGCGGGUUCACAGAACGCGGACUCGGAUUUUUCAUGUUCAGUUUGCGGGAGAUUCGCUAGUGCUCUUUAAGAUUCAAUCUGUCUCUGUUGGAGGAAGCGAUUCCUCCUUUUUGGCGUUUUCAGAAAUUAAAUGCCAAUUUGCAGAGGUUUCAUAAGUUAUCUUCUCCCAGUGCUCAGUUUUACUAAUUUUUUUUUUUUUUUUUUGGUUCAGCCAUUUGGUCUGCUACCUUUUGUUCUCUAUCUUUGCCAUAGUUAUACCCAUGGCCUUUAUUGCUGUCUUGAUUGUAUGUAUGCAUUGCUUAGUGGAUUAUGGCUGGUUAGGCUUCAAAAAAG